rnacentral:rRNA from 1 species
UUUGAUCUUGGCUCAAAACGAACGCUGGCGGCGGGCCUCAUCCUUGCAAGUCGAGCGCGAAAGUCCGCAGGGAUGAUUAAAGCGGCGCACGGGUGAAAAACACGUGAAUAAUCUACCUCUUGGAUUGGGAUAACCUGUCAAAAGACGGGCUAAUACCAAGUAAUUUCCUUAAAUCGUAAAGUUCUUUGGAAAAAAGUUGGCGCAAGCUAACGCCAAGAGAUGAGUCUGCCCCCCAUUAGCUAGUUGGUGAGGUAAUGGCUUACCAAGGCUACAAUGGGUAGCUGGUCUGAGAGGAUGAUCAGCCACACUGGAACUGAAACACGGCCCAAACUCCUACGGGAGGCAGCAGUAGGGAAUAUUGCGCAAUGGGCGAAAGCCUGACGCACCCACGCCGCGUGAGUGAAGAAGGCCUUCGGGUUGUAAAGCUCUGUCUUUCGGGAAAAACGGCUAUUGGGGGAAAGUUCCAUUAGCGUGAUGGUACCGAAGGAGGAACCACCGGCAAACUCUGUG